ACAACAAUCAUCAAUACACGAAUGUGACAAUAAAAACAAAGUCAAGUAGUAAAAAACUCAAAAAGCAAAUUAAAAACGAGAGCAAAUCAAAUUUUAGUUGCACCACAACAACAACAACAAGAACAACCACAGUGAUAAAGGGAGAGAACAACAAAAAACAACAAUAAGAACAACAAGACACGAUUUCCGAUCAACUUAGUUGCCUUUAAAGCUGCAUAUAUCCUGAUUAUCCUGCACAUUUACCAUCUCGGUGUCUAGCGUGUGUCCUUGUGUGUGUCCUUGUGUGUGUGCUUGUCCAGUGCCAAGUGUCCCGUGUCCUUAGACCCGACGCCUACACACACUUUCCUGCCUUCACUUGCUCGCUCUCUCUCUCUCCAUCUCUCUCUCUCUCUCUCUCUUGCUCUCUCUCUCUCUCUGUGUGUCUUUCUUUAUCUCACUAUCCAGCCCUGUUUUUUGGCUGUCUAGCACUAAGCACUAGCGCACCACCAGCACCACCAGCCAGAGGCCAACAACCAACAACAACAACAACAAGAAAAAGAACAACAACAAUAAGAACAAGUACAAGAAUUAGCACCACCGACCAGGUCAGUGUCUGUGUGAUUACCCCACUCCUGCUCGCCACACCAUCCACAUACCAGCACCACAAUUGCACAUUACUACCAUAGAUACCCACGGCAGUAUUACUACCGCAUGGAGCGCGGCACCAGCGGUGGUCAGCAGCAACAGUCGCAGUCGCAGUCGCACCACCCGCACCACCACCAUCAACAGCAGCAGCAGCAGCACCACCCGCACCACCAGCAACAGCAGCAGCAGCAUCAGUCGCGGCAUCAGCAUGUGGUAUCGGUGCAUAGCUACGAUCCGUAUAUGAUUGCCGGCGAUGCGGAUGAGGAGCAUACCUCGGGCACAUCCUCCUUUGAUAAUCCGGCAACGAAAAAGAAACCGCCCAAGCUGAAGCCCAUCCAUCGUUCCCUAUCGAUGGCCAUUGAUAAUUAUGCACCGAUAGCGACCGAAUUGGAUUUAGAUUUAGAUGAUGGCUUCAUUGUGCAUGAGCAGCCGCUGAUCCACCGCUCGGCGUCGCCGCUGCCCGUGCGCUCGUCUGCACCGCCGCAGACCCUAGCACUCCCAGCACAACAACAACAACAACAACAUAUUCCCCAACAUAUACCCGGUGGCGGCGGCAGCGGUUCCGUGUCGCCGGCACUGUCUGCACGCCAGCAGCACCACCACCUACAACAACAACAACAACAGCACCACCUUAAACAACAACAGCACCACCAGCUGCAUAUGCACACAUUCCAGCAACUGGCCGCACAGGCAGCUGCUGCACGACACCACCAGCUGCCACAUACGCAUGCAACGCAUCAGCACCGCCAGCACACGCACCCGAGCUCGAGCAGCUCACCCACCUUGCACGCGGUCAGCCCAGUGCAACAGCAACAACAACAACAACAACAACACCAUCUGCAACGACAACAACAACAACAUCAGCCGGAUAUCUAUCUGGUCAGCGGCGGCGGCAGCAGCAGCCUGGGCGACAAUGUGGGCGGUCUGGGCAUGGGAUUGGGCCUGGGUCGCUCACAGCUGGGCGGCAGCGGCAGCACAUCACCGAUACAGUUUAUCGAUGUCGAUGAUAUGCUGCCGCAACAGCAGCUGCACCACCCGCAUCCGCAUCCGCACGCGCAGCAGCAGCAGCUGCAGCUGAAAAAGAAUUUGUUCCGGCGCUCAGACACAAUUGACGUUCAUCCGUCUACCAAUUUUCAGAUGAAGAAAACGCAUUCCUUCCACGCCCAACAGGAUCCCGCCGCCAUGGAGCAAAUCCAGCUGGCCGUCGCCGCCGGCUCGGCAACCUCCAGUCGUCGCACCAGCUCGGUGCGCGCCAAUUUCCUGAUGCCCGGCCCGCCCGCCGGCAAGGCGGAGAUCUCCCGUUCGCCCUCGCCGAGUCGCCGCGGCUGUCGUUCGCAUCGCUCCUUCAACGAUCCCGGCCGACGGCCCAGCAGCAAGCCGGAGUCCAUGGUGGAGUCCCAAAUCCGUCAUCCCUCGCUGAACGAUGAUCUGCUGGAGCCGCUCGACGGCCGUUCGCUGUUUCCGCCAACGAAUCUGUCGCUGGAGAACGAGCUGUUUGUGGAGUCGCGUUCGCGCAGCAAUAGCCAUACAAAAAUGGAGGAGCUGGGCGUGGCUGAGCUGGCGGCCGCCGCUGUGGCCGUGCAGCGCAUGCGCAAGAGCUCCGGUUCGUUUGAGGAGACGGCGCCUGUUUUAGCCGCCGGCCACAGCGCCACCCAUCCGCCCGCCGCCUCCGCCUCGAACAGCAUUAAGCAAAAGCGCGAACCGCAUCCACAUUCGCGCCAGCAGAGCACCCACAGCCUCGAGCUGGACGGACGCCCCUCCACCAGCAGCGCCGCCGCCGCCGCCCACACAAUGCAGCUGCACAGCGCGGCGACCGCCGCGAGCGCCGCAUAUCAUUUUAAGCGCGGCGCACAACACGGACGCUCACUGUACCUGUCGCCCAGCAAUCUGGAGGAGCUGACCGUGCAUCGGCCCGGCCUGCUGGCGGCAGCGGCCGCCUUCCAGGGCACCAAUGCCAGCGCCAGCGUCAAACAGGCCAAGGCCCUGCACAGCGCCAGCGUACGGCUGCGCAGCUACCGCGAGGCUCUGAGCGCCACCAAGAAGUCCAAGAGCUUUAUUGGCGAGAGCAGCGGCGCCACCUCAACCGGUGGCGAUGAUUUUGAGCUUGGCUCGGCCUCACCCCACCGAAGGAACAGUCGCCCGCUGUCGUCGGCGGUGUCCAGCGUGGCGGCCGGCACCGCCGCUGUGGUCAACGUGGACGAGAUAAAGCGCAGUCCGCGUCCCAUUACCGCCGCCGCCGUUGCGGCCGCGUUCAUCGAGGAGAAACGGCCGUCGUUCGAGCGCAAAUCCUCGCUCACCUACGAGCACGAGCUGACCGAUGCCGCCUUUGCCGCUCAGGUGCUGCGUCCCUUCCACCAUAAGCUGGCCGCCGGACGCAAGGCGUCCCUGAGCGGCGGUUCGCACAAGCUCAAAAAGAAAUCGCUGAGCGACGAUACCGACGAGGACGAGGAGGCGGACCGCAAGCGCAAGCGCAUCGUUUGCAUUGUCCUGGCGACGGUGCUGUUGUGCCUGGUGUGCGCCAGCGUAUUUGUGCUCAUUGUCACGCUCACCUCCGGCCAGGGUCAGUCCGGCAAGAAGUCGCACACCUUCAGCCGGGACACGCCCGUCCACUACACGGGCAUGCGACCAUCAUGAACUCCAACAACAACAACAACAGCAACAACUACUUGGCCCAGCUUUCACUUCCGUUUCCGCUGCGCUAACAUGCACCUCAACUUCAACUUCUACUUCUACUUCUUCGUCUUCUUUUUCUUCACCACUUCUGUGUCCUGCUCUCUGUGUGUGCGUGCGUGUAAUUGUCAGCCGCUUCGAUUGUUCUCUCCAGCGCCACAACGGUCAACCAGCUGCCAGCAGCUGGCUAAUUGAGGAUGAGCCGCAGCCGCAGCCGCAGCGGAAACAACAACAACAAUUGGCCGCAAUUCGUGAGAAUUACAAUUGAAAAAGCACGCACCUAGCCGCGCGCCUUGCGUCAGGAGAACGAGCGCAGCAUGCGCGAUAACCUGGAGCGCACUCUGAUGAUGAAGAACCUCACGGAGCUGAAUCUGCAGCGGCAGCAGCAGCUGCUGCAUCAGGCGAAACAGCAGCAGCAGCAGCAGCAGCAG